UCCUUCACCUUAAGCUCAGCGAAUGCCUCUGGGUCGUCAGCAAGACCCAAUGGGUCGAAGCUGCCACCUGGGUACAAGGGGUCGGUCACCUCACCGAGAGGCCCGCCAGCAAUACGGUAACCCUCAACAGCUCCCAUCAAGAUAACUUGGCAAGCCCAGAUGGCCAAGAUGCUUUGAGCGUGGAUCAAGCUUGGGUUUCCCAAGUAGUCAAGCCCACCUUCGCUGAAGAUCUGAGAUCCGGCCUUGAACCACACAGCCUCACCGAAUUUGACUCCAUUCCUAGCCAAAAGCUCAGGGAAAACACACCCAAGAGCACCCAACAUAGCCCACCUACAGUGGAUGACUUCGAGCUCACGGUUCCUGGCAAAUGUCUCUGGGUCCGCCGAGAGUCCAGCAGUGUCCCAACCGUAGUCACCAGGGAAUUCUCCGGUCAAGUAAGAUGGAGGCUCACCAGAUAGUGGACCCAAGUACAAGACUCGGUCAGGACCGUACCAUGGACUUCCAGAGGGAGCAGCCUUGGUAGCGGUUUUCCUCAUGGAAACACGGCCAUUGCCUUGGAUUUUAGGGGCGGAAGGAGAGAGCUUGACGGCCUUUCCGGCGAAAGAUGGGGAAGAGAGAGCCAUGGUUGCAGCCGCCAUUCUGAAGGGGAAAGAUGAUCUCGGGUGAUGGGAGUUUGUGGUAUAA
rnacentral:lncRNA from 1 species